rnacentral:snRNA from 1 species
AUGUUUACCUGGCAGGGGAGGGGCCAUGUUCACAAAAGAUGGAUUUGUCAGGACAAGGCAUAUUUAUUGCACCUCUAAUGUGCUCACCCCAACUGUGGGACAAGCCACUGUAUAAUCUAUGGUGUGAGGGACUGCCUCCAUACUUCCCCCUG